UGCACUUCAACCUCCGUAACCAGGUACGUUAUCGCAGCGGCGUGGGAUCGCAUGCGCACUCAUGUCGCAAGAGAUGCUUGCAGAAUCGUUGCCGCUCUUCAGGGCUGCAGGCCAUUGCAGCUCUGACGUGAUUCCUGCGGCGGCGCAGCGUAGGAACCCUUUCAUCGUAGCCAUCGGCUCCUCGUGCGGUGUGCAACGGGCCGCUGAUGGCACCGCCUCCCCCUUCAUUAGUGCGCUGGUACCGUCGGUCUGCCAGAGGAGUAAGACGUGCUCAGUAACGACAGCACAUCGGCACCUCUUCUCCAAAUCGGCGGGGCCGCGGCGCCCCAGCGAGCAACGUUGCGGUGGCAACCGGCGGUUGCCAUGGAGAACGCACUUCUCACAGCUGCUUUCCGAGGAGCAGAUUACCCGCUGGAGGCUACGGUGCGAGGAGCAGGAAGAGCGGGUGGAGAUUGCGCUGGCAAAGCCGUCGUGCCGGGUGCUGUUCUCUCACGCUGAUGUGACAGCUGCACGCUCUGCACGUGGACAGGGCGACGAGCGCCUGGGCUGCGAUGCGUACUCUCGACCACACUUACCGCGUGCGGAGCUCGUUUGCGCCACGGCCAAUGAAGCCCAUUCGUUGCGCGCUGGCCGGAGGCGGAUCAAGACCAAGAAGCACUGCUCCUCGGGGCGUAGCGGAGGUCUUCAAGAGCACCCGACUUCCGAGACCCAAAAUACAACGUCCGCCCCUGCGCCAUUGUAUGUGCGAGACAGCGAGCUGCUGCGCGCGCUGCAAAGGGCAGAGGCACGUAUCAAGCAGCUGGAGGCCGUUACCGUGUCGCAGGCUUCAGCGCCAUGGGAUAAGGAGAACACCAUGAACGCUUCCUCGUCCACGAUGGCGAAGCCGCAAGCUUCGGCUUUCCCUGGCGCAAUCCAACCUUUUUCACCUCUAUCAUCGCGCCUGGAAACCUUGUAGAUGCCGCCGAUCCUCUCCUCCUCCUGCUCAUUUUUCUCAUUUUAGCAUCGUUCUCUGGUCGCUCCUGGCGUGUGUGUGUGUGUCACUAUACUGUCAUUCUCUUCCUCUUCGACGGCGAUUCCGAUGAGCAGAGACAAUCACUGCCUAGUGAGACGUCUAGCGAAGAAGUCAGUACUAUAGGAAAGGCGCGAUGUGCUCACAUACACAAAGAAAAGAGUGGUCACACAUACGAAGACACUCCAAUGUACAGCUGCUCAUCUCUCCCUCUUCCUUUUUUUUUGAUUUUGUUUUGCUAUCCUUUUUGCUUCCACACUGCGGUGCCGGAGCUGCGGAGCUUCAGUUAGCGACCGUUUUCUUUUUCUUUCGUAUUGCUCGUUUACUUCGUUGCUCAUUUGCACACAUGACGGCGGUUUUGCCCCGGCGUCCAACACACAUCGCCUCCCCCCUUCCCUCAGAGUGUAAGCGGUGUGUUGUGCUUUUGGAUGCAGGGAUGCGCUGGUUCGAGGGCAACAAGCGCGCCUCGGUGUUUUUCACAGAGAGGCUGUCCAUUGCUUCACCCUUUUCACUCUUCCUUCUGACCAAGGCGGAGCGAGCGAGCGAGGAGCGCAGGAGACGCUUAUCUGUUUUUCUUCCCUGCCGCUGAAGCCAUCAGUUCGCACCGCAUUCUAGGAGUGCGAACAGAAAGAAAACUGAAAACAACACUUCUUUUUCUUUUGUGAAACACGAUAGCCACCUCUGUGGUAGUGUUCUUUGUGCCUUCGACCGGUGAACGACCUCUUCCCUCU
rnacentral:misc_RNA from 1 species